GUACAGCUUACCUUACACUGCUGAGCUAGAAAAUUGAAGGGGGGGGGGGGGGGGAAAUAAUACAGAAUAGAAAAGGAAAAUCUUCGAUUUUUGCAGCUACUGACCCGAUCUAACCCCUUCUCUCUCCUAAGUGAAAUCCCCCUUUCCCAUUUACAGAUAAUGAUGAGGAAAACCUAAGCCCUAAAUUGACGCCCUAACUUCCGAACGACAACCCAAGUAAUCGCCACCUCCGAGCGUCAAGAAUCCAAGUUAUUUCCUCCAACCUCCAAUUGAUCGCUACCUCUAGCCGAAGUGAAAUCCUAGUUUCCCAUUCGUGAAGAACAACGAAGAAGAAGGCAUUGAAUACCCAAGUGACCGCAUACGGUAAGCAAAAACAAGGCAUCGACGAAGACCUUGAUAAAAGGAAAUUCUCAUGCAUUACCUACUGUUAGUGCAAUUAUAGAUGGUACUGGUUCUGUAGGUGUUGCUGUUGAACCUCUUAGUGCAAUUUUAGACUUAUCUUAUGGACCCCUUUUCUGAUAUUAUCCCCCAUUUUUAUCUCGUGCGUUAACUGUGAUGCGUUAACUGUGAUGUUCAUGUUUAUUAUUUCAAUUAUUUAUUAUUGAAGUUCCUGUUGACUCAUGUUGUGAGAGUAGAGGUUAAAGGAAAGCUGAAUGAUGAAAAAUUUCUUGUUACUUCAAUAAUGAUUCAUGUUGUAAGAGUGGAGGUUAACUCACCCAUAGAACAAUUUUCUCGUCUCUGAUAGGAUAAAAAUGGAUGAACCAUUAGAGAAACUGAACCUGUAUAGGUUCCAACCUCACAAUAAUUUUUUUGUCAUACUACCUUGUUAAGUUUUAUACUAGCUUGCAGGAGAUAGGUUGGAAACAUUUAUUCUAGCACAAUUUCCCUUUUUUCUCUGCUAUUUUUCAUUUACUCUGUGUACUUCAUUGAGCUUCCAGGUUUUAUUGAUUGAAUCUGUUGUAAAAUCCAGAACACACAUAAAUCACUUUAUUCCUUUUAGAUGUCGUAUCCCAUGCCUGCCUUGGAUUAUAUUCGUAUUUUUUAUUCUAAUUUGGUUGAAUUAGAUUAGUUCGAUGUCAGGCAAGAAUAAGGGAAUAUGUCAUAGUUGUAGGGAGAGGGGACAUAUGCUGCUGGAAUGCCCAAAGAAGAGAAGAUGUCCAAAUUGUGGUGAGGGCUUCGUCAAGUGGUUGGAGGUCGAAAAGAACAAGCAUAAAGGGCUGUUUUUUCAUUGUUGUACCCGGGACUGUAGGUACUUCAAGUGGUGUAACAAAUCCUUUGACAAAGAAUGCCCAUUGCAUGAUGAUGGUGAAUCAAGUGGCAUCACAAAUGGAGGUGAGCACGUCGACGAUUUGUCGCACAUGUUGAAAAUACUUGCUACGCUAAGUGAGGAAAAAGGCUUGGAGAUUUCUCUAAACAUAAAUAUGCUCAAAGGGAAAGGAGUCUCAGGAAAUUGAAGAUGUAUUAGGAUGUUGAUUCUGGAAUUUAAAUAAAGUGUGUUGUAUGACUUCAUAUGUUGUUUAGGGAGGAGUUUCUGGAAUUAAAUUGUUGCACUGAAGUUCUUAAAUUAGUAUGAUGCUAACAGAUUCCAACCUUUCACUUUAGCUCUACAAUUUUACUGUUAUUAUACCAAACGGGCAAUAAAUGAAUACAUGACAAUUGCGUAUGUUUAUAUACCUG
rnacentral:lncRNA from 1 species